AGUGAACGCUGGCGGUAGGCCUAACACAUGCAAGUCGAACGGUAGCACAGUAAGCGCUUGCUCUUACGGGUGGCGGGUGGCGGCCGGGUGAGGACUACAUCGGAAUCUACUUUUUCGUGGGGGAUAACGUAGGGAAACUUACGCUAAUACCGCAUACGACCUACGGGUGAAAGCAUGGGAUCUUCGGACCUUGUGCGUCUGAAUGGGCCGAUGUCGGAUUCGCUAGUUGGCGGGGUAAAGGCCCACCAAGGCGACGAUGCGUAGCUGGUCUGAGAGGAUGAUGAGCCACACUGGAACUGAUACACGGUCCAGACGCCUACGGGAGGCAGCAGUGGGGAAUAUUGGACAAUGGGGGCAAGCCUGAUCCAGCCAUACCGCGUGGGUAAAGAAGGCCUUCGGGUGGUAAAGCCCUUUUUUUGGGAGAGAAAAGCGGCAGGUUAAUACCCCGCUGUUCUGACGGUACCCGAAGAAUAAGCACCGGCUAACUUCGUG
rnacentral:rRNA from 1 species